CGAGCCCGAGCCUGAGCCAUGUCUACCAGAGGAGGCAGCAUGGUGUAGUGAACUGACUGCAACAGAUGACAGAAGAAACUCCUGAAAUCCAGCAGUACCUCUCGACUUUUGGACCAUUCCUUUUUACUCCUCUGCUCUAGUUCCCUGUUGUUAUUUAACCAAAACUACCCAUAUAGUCACUUAAAUUAAGACAGAUUAUAUAAAUCAAUACAUAAAUUAUAACUACUAACAAAAAUUCAUGUAAUUUUGCCUUAAAUAAAAGUCUGGAUUAAAAAGUUUUAUGCUUCCCUACUUGUACAAUGAAAUAAUGGUAGCUAUGUUUUUCAGAGGGGCUGCUUUGAGGACUAAUGUCUCACCUGUACAUUAAGAUGAAUUUCCUGAAACUUUCCUUUUUUCCUUCCACUCUUCACAGACCUUGUUGUUGCAGUCCUUCACACCUGUCUCCCACCUCCUGUUGUUAUGUAAAUGGAAGGUCUCUAACAUUCUUCCACCAUUUUCCUUGUAGUAUGGCUUUAGCAGAUGUGUUGACCAAAUGCCAGAUGAAGCAGCACAGACGAGUAUUCCCAGAAGUUUGAACAAAUAAUAAUUUUGGAAAUCUUGUGACUGAACUAGGAGCUGAAACAAACUUUGAAAAAUCACUUCUUUCUUCCCUGUCAAGUUGGAGUCCUUCCCAGGGCACUUUCAUGUCCUGCUCUACAGCCUGUUGGGAUCAGUGGAGAGCUGCCAUUGACGUCAGUCAGGCUUUUUAGUUUUGCAGUUUGCAAAAGGCUUAAUAUUCUACUUGCAGCUGUUGUUAAGUAGUUGCUGUUAGGACUCAUACAUGAGUGAAUUUGGGUGUUGGAGUAAGCCUUAUAGAUUGUUGCUUACCUAAGGGCUUGUUUGCAAAGAGCUGUAAAUUCCCUGGAUGAAAGACAUUUUUCUAAAGCCAAGUAUAACUGUGACCUACUUGUGCAUGUUAUCUCGCACUGCUUAAAAACUGUCAAAACUACUUGUUAUCAUGAAGGUCUAAGUUAAUGGAAAAAUGGCUAUUUUUAACUAUUAUAAUCUUCAGUUUGCUAGAGCAAACAGGCACAAAUGUGAGUGUUUGGUGUGAUCAAAUACAAAGAUCUUUGCAAUUUUUUUCCCCUAAAUGUUGAAAGAAUUAGCAUGAACUGUAUUUAGCCCAGUAGCAACUACUUUAGGAAGACGUAGAUGUGCGAAAUAUGAGGUUUAUCAAGACUGGUGUGGUUUUUUUUAUGAAAAAGUCACUGAAUUUUGACAGAAGCAAGUGUUGAAGAAAUAUUAUUGCUGUCCAGUAUUAACAAAUUGUUGUGUGCCAUCCUGAUGCUGCUAAUGUGAGUAUUGUAGAGAAGGCAGGUGCAGUUUUUAGCCUACUCAAUGGUCAAAGAAGUAGAGUUGUUUACCUUAAGAGUUUUUUAAUACUACAAUCCUUGUCUUUCCUCUAUGACUUUUUAACAAAUGUAGAUCAAACAUUUCUCAUUUUAGACAAAUAAAUCACCAUUAUAGUAGUGACAGAGAGGAUUUGUCCUCAUUUUACAGGUGAGACAACUCCUGGACUUUUUUUUUUCUUUUCCCUGAGUCUGAGGGUCAGGUCAAAACAGGGGAAUUUCUGCCUUGUGGGCCUCUUCUCAGACUCUUCAUUUGUUCUUACACAAGUUGAUAAUAAAGUUCUAACAGCAGAUGAUAAACUUCAACUCAUUAUUUUGUGCUUUGGUAGUGAUUCUUUCUUCCUGGACACUGCACAUUUCUUGGUUGAUCUGUCUUCCGGUUGGGAACUUUUGUGUGGAAAAAAUCAUCAAUUUUUCAAUGAGAAAUUUACAUACUAAAUCUUGAGUUCCUACCAUUAACAGUCUUUAUUUUUCUUUUCCAAAUCUAAUUCUCCUCGGAUAGCUGUAGACAUGGCUGCUGUUGCUGGCAGCAAUGGUUUUGAUUGAAGUCUAUGCUGAGCGAUUUAAAAACUUGCUGCUGGGAGCUUCUGGUCAACAUUUUAUUACGGUCUGUGAUUUUCAGGGUAACAUUGCUCUUAUCUAAAGGGACUAGCCACUUAAGAGGUGGCUGCUGUAUCCUUUUCUAAAAUUUAGUGCUGUGUUUUUCUACUUGUUGUCAGAGGUAUUUAUUUCAGGCAUGUCAUGAUGUCCCUAAUUCGUGAUGUGACUAUUUCAUGGCUGUUACCAAACGCUCUCAGGCUGAGUGACCGGAGAGUGGGGCAGUGUGAGCUGGCUGGCCAUUUCCUUCAUUUUAGAAAUUGAAAAUUUUAGCAUGUUUAUGGUAGCUAAGUAUUGUCGUUUCAAUGCUUCCAGUCCUAGUGAUUUUCCCCAUUUUCCUUGCUUCAAGGCUCCAUAGCCCGAAGGAAGGUGUUCUUGGCAGGCUCUGGGGCUCUGCAGCACUACCUGAGGCAGGCUGUGUGUGCAGUCGUGCCAACACAGCUGUUUCCCACUCGCAGUACCUAUGCAGGGCAGGAUUUGGAACUGGCUCUGAGAGCUUUUCUCUCCUCGGCUUUUGCCCCGAAUUUCUUCUGUACCCAUUUCAUACUGUUAUUUAAUCCUGUCUGUGCUUUCUGUUUAUUGCUUCUAAAUGCAUGUCAUAAUUUAUGCUUUUUUCACAACUCAUUUUAGGGUUUAAACCUCAAUUUAAUGGCUUAAGUAGCUCAGAAUCAGCACGUGAAUCAUCAAAUCACUGAAAGCAGUACAUGUCUGUACAUGAGAACCAGUGGCAGCACCUGAAUCUUUAGGCCUGGUAGAGCUUUUCUUUCAGUUGGAAAGAAGAAUAUUUUACAGAGCUAUCUGAUUUAAACAGCAGUAUCUCUUUUAAGCUGGUUCUUUUUAAGGUUUGAUGCCUUGUCCCAUGCCUUUUUUCCCCCCUCAACAAAGCUUAGUCUUUGCUGAAAAUUAGUCCUGAAUGCAUGGAAAAAGUUGCAUAGACUAAUGGCAACAACAAGAGGAAACUGGGACAAUGAGGUAGAGUCUAUUUUAGAUGCAUGGUUUUGAAAGGAAUUGCAAAGAAGGAAAAUAAGCAUCAGCCUAUGGAAGGAAAAGCAGUAAAAUUGCUUUUAGUGAAGAACACCAGAACCUCAUGUGUUCCACAGUCUCUGAAAACAAUCUUUUGGGGAUUUCUAUUUUUUCUUUUAAUAGAUCUGAAUUGAAUAUUUCAAGUUAUUUUUUAAUCUAAUCUGUUAGUAAUUGAAGAUGAAAGCCACACAUGGUUAGUUCAUGUGACUGGUGUAGUAUUUCUUAGUUUUGCAGUGCUAAGGCAGAAUCACACUGUGGAAAACAGACUUUUGCAUGUGAGUUCUGAUACCAGCAAGUAGCCUUAUAUUUUUUUUGUGACACACUGUUUAGGUAAAAUAUAGUUAGGUGUUGUUCUUCAUUGAAACCUAAAGAAAACUCCUAAACAUUAUAGAGCAAGAGCAGAGAAAAACUGUGAAUUCUCAGCCUUUAUUAUGUCAUGUUUUCAGAAAGAAAUAAAUUUUCAGAAGCUCACACCCAAGUCAGAGUUCCCAUAUGUUGUGGAGAGAAAUCCUUAGUUUGUAAACAAGGUUGGGCCAGACAGGCUUCAACAAGGUACACCGGUGUGAUGGGGCUGUUUUAUAUCCUUCUUUUCCUGUUUGCAAUCCAGAAUUUAAUCCAGAAUUAGGGCUUUGGUGAAUCAUUUUGCCCCAUGUAACUGAUGAAAUGCAGCCACAUCCACAGUGCAGUGCCUGCUCUUCAUGUGCAUGUAUUUGAGUUAAAGUGCAGAGUUUUAUUGAGAGCUGAAUAGGAGCUACCUCUGACCACCUGCCCAAGUUCUUGUGUGGGUUCUGCAGCCUGUGUUGGCUUCUGUGCUGCUGCAAAGUUUGUUGUGGACAAUUUACAUAUCCUUGGAGUUAUUUCUUCAUGGAUAGAAAAGAUGGUGUGCACUUCAUGUUUGUUGAAAACUGUUGCUCUGCUCCUCCGACUGCCACAUUUUGAAGUGGAAGGAGGAUCUGGUCUCAUCAUUGUGAAAAAGAUUGGUGUGUGGAAAAGUGUGAUGAGGCAGAGAGUUCUGUGGCAGCAGUAUGCCCUCUGCCUCCAGAGAGGAGGUUGCUGGCAUUUUCCUGCUGUGCUGGUAGGAUUGCAGGGAGAAGUCCACGGGGGAGAUGCCUGCUCUGUGCAGCUGUGACUGAGGGCGCUCUGAACAGAGCGUGAAAUGGGAAACAUUGAGAAGAUGAUGUUCUCAAAGGUGAGGCAAAAGGUACUUUUAUACUCUGUGGUGUAUUUGCAGUUUCAUCUGAGAGGGUGGUACAAGAAAACCAGUGCAAGCCAGCCAGCAAAUUGUGAGGUUCAGACUUCCUGAAGCCUUUAGACCUGUGCCUGUUUCUCUUUGGAGCAUGCUGAAGACUGCAGUAUGUGUUACUAUUCAUUAAUGAAGACAAGAAUGUUUUUUUCUUUUUCUUACAGACUUUUUUUAUGGUAACUUAGUGCCAUGGCACUAAGAAAUUAUCCUUUUCGACCACCCCAGUCAGAGGGGCGGUCUUAGAAAAGAGGGCUCUACAGGAAGGGCAUGAUAAGAUGUUCUGGUUUAGUGCUUCCUUACUAAUAAAUAUAUUUUAUUCUGUUUCUGGAAUGGCAAAACAGGUCAUGUAUUGUCAUAGAGAUGGACACAUUUUAAUAAAAAGUGUGAAGCUGAAACAGUUUUUGCAACAUUUUUUUAGUACUUGUCAUUCCCUUUGCUGUAACUGGCACCUCAGCUUAAUAAAUGGGCUCUCAUUUUAGCUAUCAGUUUAAAUCUUAUACAAGUAAGGACUGUGAGAUUUCACUCAAUGAAAGGAUUCUGCUUUAAUUACUGUUAUUAUAAAUCUGAUUUUGUUUCUAUUACAUCAGGCUCGUAUGAGGCAUCUUUGAUCAGCAGAGAAGUCAGCAAAACUGCUGUUUAAAUUACAGUUUCCUUUUAACUCGUGAUGAAAGCUUUCAGUUUAUUUUUGGCAUUAGAAAGUCUGGGAGACAACCAGGUUAUAUAAGAGCUGAAACCUAGUUAAUGAUAAAGAAACAUAGCUAAGAGCCUAUAAUAACAACAAGUCUGAAAAAGAUGUUCCAGCUCUAGCUCUUGGCCCUGCUUACAGAAUAUGUAAAACAGUUUAUGCCAAAGUAAUGGCUUUCUCUGGUGUCCUGGGAUACCACUUCUCUUAAUCAACGUUUGUGGGAGAGCUGACUUCCAGGAAGACUGUGAAAGAUGAAUGAAUUUCUUAGAAUUAGGGUGUAAAAGAAGAGAUGAAUUUAGGACUUGC